UCUGAACAUAUCUCUUCAAUGAUUUUUUUAAUUAUUCAAUUAUUUAAAAUAGUUAUUCUUGUUUUAGUAUUCUUAAGAAAAUAAUUAAUUAUUUAAACUGAAAAGGAAAUAUAGUUUAUAGUUAAAUAAAGUAAUAUAAAUUAUGUACCUUUUGUAUCAGGGUAAAUUAAUAAAAAUUAUGUAUAUAUAUAUCCCGAAAUAAAAUGAUUUAUGUUAUUUUGAUAUUUAUUGUUGUAUAAAUAUUAUUUAAUAUAACUUGGAAAUGAAAUUUUAUCGUAUUUUUUGAUAUCUGGUUUCCUAGAAAAUAAAUUUAAUUUAGGGAAAAUUAAUUGUGUUAAAAUAAUUACAUUAAAUUUUCUAAUUAUAGAGAGGAUAAGCUCUUUAUAUUAUCUAUAAAUUUUUAUAUAAAAUAUUUAAUAGGCUUAAAACCAGUCAUUUUUGAUUUAGUUAAAUUUCAUUUUUCAUUAUAAAUCAUUUAAUUUUUUUUAGUUAAAUACUAGGAAUUAAUUUAUAAUUAAUUACUUUAAUUAUAAUGAUUUAAUUAGUAAAAUAUUGAAAUAUUAAUUAUGAAUUCGGCAAAUUUAACUUUCGCCUGUUUAUCAAAAACAUGUCUUUUAGAAUAAAAGUUAAAGGUCUAAUCUGCCCAAUGAUUGUUGAAUGGCCGCGGUAAUAUGACCGUGCAAAGGUAGCAUAAUAAUUAGUCUUUUAAUUGAAGGCUUGUAUGAAUGAUUGGAUGAAAAGUUCACUUUAUUUUUUUUAAUAUUUAAAUUUAAUUUUUAAGUUAAAAAGCUUAAAUGUUUGUGUGGGACGAGAAGACCCUAUAGAGUUUUAGAAAUUUAUAUAUUAACUAUUAUUGGAUUUUUAUUAUUUAGUAAAUUAAUUUAUUUUUUUUGUUGGGGUGACGUUGAAAUAUAAUUAACUUUCAAUUAAUUUAUCAUUAAUUAAUGUUUAAUUGAUCCUAUUUCAAGAUUAAAAGAAUAAAUUACCUUAGGGAUAACAGCAUAAUUAAAUUGGAGAGUCCAAAUCAAUAAUUUAGCUUGUGACCUCGAUGUUGGAUUAAGAAAAGACCCUGGGGCAAUUUUCAGGGAAUACUAGGUCUGUUCGACCUUUAAAUUCUUACAUGAUCUGAGUUCAGACCGGCGUGAGCCAGGUUGGUUUCUAUCUACAUUUACCUUUUUUGAUAUUAGUACGAAAGGACCAUAUUGAAUGAUUUUAUUGUGCUGUUUUGGCAGAUUUAGUGCAUUAAAUUUAGAAUUUAAUUAAAU
rnacentral:rRNA from 1 species